rnacentral:lncRNA from 1 species
UGUAACUAUGUACCAUUCAGAUGUACAACAUGUAACUAUGUACCAUUCAGAUGUACAACAUGUAACUAUGUACCAUUCAGAUGUACAACAUGUAACUAUGUACCAUUCAGAUGUACAACAUGUAACUAUGUACCAUUCAGAUGUACAAUAUGUAACUAUGUACCAUUCAGACGACAGUAUCUCUGGUCUCUCAUAUCAUCUCUGUGCUUCCAGUCAGUGUGUUAAGGUGGGCUGAGUGUUUAGUGAGAGGAGACGACAGUAUCUCUGGUCUCUCAUAUCAUCUCUGUGCUUCCAGUCCGUGUGUUAAGGUGGGCUAAGUGUUUAGUGAGAGACAGUUCCUGUGUAAAUAACAUACAAGCUCCUGUGUUACUACACAGUGGGGAUGUACCCCUCAAAUGGCACCCUAUUCCCUAUAAUAGUGCACUACUUUUGACCAAAGCCACAUACAGUAGGGCACCAUAUAUACCUCCCUUCCUCUUCUCCCUCCCUCUCCUUCUUCUACUUUCUCCCUCUCUCUCCCCCUUCUCCCUCUCUCUCCCCCUUCUCCCUCUCUCUCCCUCCCUCUCCUUCUUCUACUUUCUCCCUCUCUCUCCCCCUUCUCCCUCUCUCUCCCUCUUCUCCCUCUCUCUCCCUCCCUCUCCUUCUUCUACUUUCUCCCUCUCUCUCCCCCUUCUCCCUCUCUCUCCCUCUUCUCCCUCUCUCUCCCUCCCUCUCCUUCUUCUACUUUCUCCCUCUCUCUCCCUCUUCUCCCUCUCUCUCCCUCCCUCUCCUUCUUCUACUUUCUCCCUCUCUCUCCCCCUUCUCCCUCUCUCUCCCUCUCUCUCCCUCUCUCUCCCUCCCUCUCCUUCUUCUACUCCCCCUUCCCCUUCUUCCCCCUUUCUUCCUCUCUUCCACUCCCCUCUCUCCCC